CCUACGGGUGGCAGCAGUGAGGAAUAUUGGUCAAUGGACGCAAGUCUGAACUAGCCAUGCCGCGUGCGGGAUGACGGCCCUAUGAGUUGUAAACUGCUUUUGUACGAGGGCAAAUCCCGAUACGUGUAUCGGGUUGAGAGUAUCGUAAGAAUAAGGAUCGGCUAACUCCGUGCCAGCAGCCGCGGUAAUACGGAGGAUUCAAGCGUUAUCCGGAUUUAAUGGGUUUAAAGGGUGCGCAGGCGGAAUGUUAAGUCAGCGGUAAAAUCUUGGGGCUCAACCCCAUCCAGCCGUUGAAACUGGGGAUCGAGAGUGUGCGAGAGGUAUGGGGAAUGCGUGGUGUAGCGGUGAAAUGCAUAGAUAUCACGCAGAACCCCGAUUGCGAAGGCAGCAUACCGGUGCACAACUGACGCUCAGGCACGAAAGCGUGGGUAUCGAACAGGAUUAGAUACCCUAGUAGUC
rnacentral:rRNA from 1 species